UUGCUGCCGUGAUGAAACUUACAGUCUUACAUAUAUAUGCCUUAAAAUAAAGUAAAAUAUGUUAUGUAGGUUUAAAAAGUAGUGUUAGGUAUUGAAAAUGCUAUGGAGAAAAAGUAAGGAAGUGAGAAGGGAGACAUGUAAUAGAGACAAUCUCACUGAAAAGGUGACAUGUCAUCAAAGAUCUGAAGGAAGUUGGCAAGUCACAUGACUGGGGAAGAACAUUUCAGACAGAACAGAGGGUCGUGUAGCCAUCACCCGUGUGGCCAACCUUCUGCUGUGUAUGUACGCCAAGGAGACCGUGGGCUUCGGAAUGCUCAAGGCCAAGGCCCAGGCCUUGGUGCAGUACCUAGAGGAGCCCCUCACCCAAGUAGCAGCAUCAUAAUGGGCCUUGGUGGAAGUUGGGGUCAGAAAAGAUAGAUGACCGUUUGGAGGGGUGGCAUCCCCUGGGAAAACUGGACUGUGGGGGGAGGAAAAACCUUUGUGUUUUCCACGAAUAAACUUUAACUCCUGU